GCCUAGGUGGUGUAGUGGAAUUAACACGCAUCCACGGUAUGGAUGAAACGCGGUUUCGAUUCCCCCCUGAGGCC